AACGUAGGGGGCGAGCGUUAUCCGGAAUCACUGGGCGUAAAGGGCGUCUAGGCGGCUCUCUAAGUCCUGCGUGAAAGCUCACGGCUCAACUGGGAGAGCGCGUGGGAGACUGGAGGGCCAGAGACUAGGAGAGGGGUGUGGAAUUCCCGGUGGAGUGGUGAAAUGCGUUGAGAUCGGGAGGAACACCAGUGGCGAAGGCGGCACCCUGGCCGAGGUCUGACGCUGAAGCGCGACAGCGUGGGGAGCGAACGGG
rnacentral:rRNA from 1 species